AACGUAGGAGACAAACGUUAUCCGGAUUUACUGGGCGUAAAGGGCGUGCAGGCGGUCGACUAAGUCUGGCGUGAAAGCUCGCGGCUAAACCGCGAGAGGUCGUUGGAUACUGGUUGACUAGAGGACGGUAGAGGCGUGUGGAAUUCCGGGUGUAGUGGUGAAAUGCGUAGAGAUCCGGAGGAACACCAGUGGCGAAGGCGACACGCUGGGCCGUACCUGACGCUAAAACGCGACAGCAUGGGGAGCGAACGGG
rnacentral:rRNA from 1 species